GCCCAACACUGGGAGUCAGAAACGCGAGGGCCCAGCCACGGAAGGCUGCGCCCACAUGUCUAAGAAUUUUACUCCAUAAAGACUGGAGAGAAAGCCCCUCGUGGAAAGAAGAGCAGUCAAGAGCAUUCUGUUUUUCAGAGGACCGCCCUCAAGAGAAACCAUUCAACCAGCACCCAGACUAGUGGGCUUUAUCAGAGCCUGACCAACCUGGAGGAAGGGAAACAGCCAACUCCAGCCCUCUUCAGCGUUCCACAGAGCAAAAGGAGAAUAACUAACAGUAGCUCCUUCCACCAUUCUGUUGCUCCGGAAGGGAGGGGAGCGCUGAGAAGCAUGUGUGCAGGUCAUAGCCCAGGCCACAGUCCACCAAAAGUCUAAUAUAUAACUCCUCUCCUCUUACCACAUCUCUCCGCCACAUUCCUAAAUGCAGGCUUGCUGGAGUUCCUUCAAGAACUUUGCUUCCAGCUCGCAAGAAAAAAAUUACAAGCCAUACUGAAAAGUCAAAACCACAGUUUGAAGAGAUGGAGCAAGAAUCCAAACCAGAGUCCAAUAUGGCAGAUGGUGGAAUCACCUGGACAGCAAUUAACCCUCCUAUCUCCUUAAGACUGACACAGCAGGCAAGAUGGUUUCAAAACAAAGCAGAGGAACUACUUGUCCUACCAACAUCAAGACAUGUUCAAAAUAUAGAAACUAAGGUAGUAUGGAAUUGGUAUUGGGGUACGAAAAGAAUAAAACGUCCAGAAGUGUAACAAAUGUGGCCUUAUGUAUCACUAAUAAAUAUAAAUGGUGCUUGGA